GACGAACGCUGGCGGCGUGCCUAAUACAUGCAAGUCGAACGCUUCUUUCCUCCCGAGUGCUUGCACUCAAUUGGAAAGAGGAGUGGCGGACGGGUGAGUAACACGUGUGUAACCUACCCAUCAGAGGGGGAUAACACUUGGAAACAGGUGCUAAUACCGCAUAACAGUUUAUGCCGCAUGGCAUAAGAGUGAAAGGCGCUUUCGGGUGUCGCUGAUGGAUGGACCCGCGGUGCAUUAGCUAGUUGGUGAGGUAACGGCUCACCAAGGCCACGAUGCAUAGCCGACCUGAGAGGGUGAUCGGCCACACUGGGACUGAGACACGGCCCAGACUCCUACGGGAGGCAGCAGUAGGGAAUCUUCGGCAAUGGACGAAAGUCUGACCGAGCAACGCCGCGUGAGUGAAGAAGGUUUUCGGAUCGUAAAACUCUGUUGUUAGAGAAGAACAAGGACGUUAGUAACUGAACGUCCCCUGACGGUAUCUAACCAGAAAGACACGGCUAACUACGUG
rnacentral:rRNA from 1 species